ACAACUUUUAACGGUGGAUCUCUAGGCUCGUGCAUCGAUGAAGAACGCAGCGAAAUGCGAUACGUAGUGUGAAUUGCAGAUCUUCGUGGAUCAUUGAAUCUUUGAACGC
rnacentral:rRNA from 1 species